rnacentral:rRNA from 1 species
AGUCUACAAGGUUUCCGUAGGUGAACCUGCGGAAGGACAUUACCUAGAGUUGCGGGCUUUGCCUGCCAUCUCUUACCCAUGUCUUUUGAGUACCUUCGUUUCCUCGGCGGGUCCGCCCGCCGAUUGGACAAAACUUAAACCCUUUGUAAUUGAAAUCAGCGUCUGAAAAAACUUAAUAGUUACAACUUUCAACAACGGAUCUCUUGGUUCUGGCAUCGAUGAAGAACGCAGCGAAAUGCGAUAAGUAGUGUGAAUUGCAGAAUUCAGUGAAUCAUCGAAUCUUUGAACGCACAUUGCGCCCCUUGGUAUUCCAUGGGGCAUGCCUGUUCGAGCGUCAUGUUGUACCUUCAAGCUUUGCUUGGUGUUGGGUGUUUGUCUCGCCUCUGCGCGCAGACUCGCCUCAAAACGAUUGGCAGCCGGCGUAUUGAUUUCGGAGCGCAGUACAUCUCGCGCUUUGUAGUCUCAACGACGACGUCCAAAAAAAGUACUUUUUUCACUCUUGACCUCCGGAUCAGGUAGGGAUACCCCGCUGAACUUAAGCAUAUCAUAAGCCGGAGGA